rnacentral:rRNA from 1 species
ACACGGCCCAGACUCCUACGGGAGGCAGCAGUGGGGAAUAUUGGACAAUGGGCGCAAGCCUGAUCCAGCCAUACCGCGUGUGUGAAGAAGGCCUUCGGGUUGUAAAGCACUUUAAGCAGGGAGAAAAAGUUAUAAGCUAAUACCUUAUAACCUUGAUGUUACCUGCAGAAUAAGCACCGGCUAAUUCCGUGCCAGCAGCCGCGGUAAUACGGAAGGUGCAAGCGUUAAUCGGAAUUACUGGGCGUAAAGCGCGCGUAGGUGGUUUGUUAAGUUGGAUGUGAAAGCCCUGGGCUCAACCUAGGAACUGCAUCCAAAACUAACUCACUAGAGUACGAUAGAGGGAGGUAGAAUUCAUAGUGUAGCGGUGGAAUGCGUAGAUAUUAUGAAGAAUACCAGUGGCGAAGGCGGCCUCCUGGAUCUGUACUGACACUGAGGUGCGAAAGCGUGGGUAGCGAACAGGAUUAGAUACCCUGGUAGUCCACGCCGUAAACGAUGACAACUAGCUGUUGGGAGACUAUGUCUUUCAGUGGCGCAGCUAACGUUUUAAGUUGUCCGCCUGGGGAGUACGGCCGCAAGGCUAAAACUCAAAUGAAUUGACGGGGACCCGCACAAGCGGUGGAGCAUGUGGUUUAAUUCGAUGCAACGCGAAAAACCUUACCUACUCUUGACAUACUUGGAAGCUCUUGUAAUGAGAGUGUGCUUUUAAGAACCAAGAUACAGGUGCUGCAUGGCUGUCGUCAGCUCGUGUCGUGAGAUGUUCCGUUAAGUCGGAUAACGAGCGCAACCCUUACCCUUAUUUGCCAGCGAUUCGGUCGGGAACUAUAAGGGGACUGCCGGUGAUAAACCGGAGGAAGGUGAGGACGACGUCAAGUCAUCAUGGCCCUUACGAGUAGGGCUACACACGUGCUACAAUGGGAGAUACAGACGGACGCUAAGCCGCGAGGUGGUGCUAAUCCUAAAAAGUCUUUCGUAGUCCGGAUUGGAGUCUGCAACUCGACUCCAUGAAGUCGGAAUCGCUAGUAAUCGCGGAUCAGCAUGCCGCGGUGAAUACGUUCUCGGGUCUUGUACACACCGCCCGUCACACCAUGGAAGUGGAUUGCACCAGAAGUAGAUAGUCUAACCUUAGGGAGGGCGUUUACCACGGUGUGCUUCAUGACUGGGGUGAAGUCGUAACAAGGUAGCCGUAGGGGAACCUGUGGCUG